UAGUGAGGCAGGUGGUUUGACACCACAUCAGUCUCAGUUUCUUCUCUGAGAGACAGAGGUAAAUGACUACUUUACAACCAUUGAGGGCUCCAGUUCGGUCAAAUAGCUGGAAAAGCCAACCACAGCUGCAAGCGGAAGCUGUGCCCCAGAGGACAUGGCACUCAAUUUCAACUGCUAAAUAAAUGAAUGACUGCCUGAAUUCAUCUUCCUGUCUCCUCCACUGGUGUAGGACUCAUCCAUGUAUCUAUUUGCCCUCCUAAGAGCACCUACCCCUGAAUGUAGCAGAUACUCAGUAAAGAUCGAUGGAUUAAUUUAGGGACUUAAAAGUCCCAAGAUAACAGCCCAACAUCAGAGCCAAAGAAGAUGUGGACUUACCCAGAUAAAGAAUAGAGAGAUGGUAUGAAACCCUCAAGAAUCCCUGACUUCAUGAAAUCGUUGCCUUUCUCAACUUCCCCACAGGGCUGGGGUGAGGCAAGUGAAGCACACAGCCUAGGUACAAAAUUUCAGGGGUGCCAAUACACUCAGCAAUACAAAUAAUAUUGUAAUGCAAAAAAAUUUUUAAUGCAAAAUUUGAAUAGUAUGUCCAUCCUGGAAGUCUACAUUCAUUUUGAUUUUUUAAAAAAUAUUGCAUUAAAAUAUUAAUUCUCCUGGUGGCUGAGUUUGUUGGUAGCCCAUCAAUUUUGCAUCUGUCAAGCAUCUCACUCAUAUCUCUGUAGCUCUGCUUCUGCUUCCAAAUGUAUUUUCAGAAGAUCCAGCCCUACAUACCAUUGUCUCCCAUCACAAACAUAGAAACAUGUUUAAUAGGAAUAGAAUGGUGGAAGUAAGGAGCAAAGAGGAAAAAGUCCUGAUCAUCAAAGUAAAAAUUAAACAGCAACGAGAUAUCCCGCAUGUGCUUUGUCAAACUGACAGAGUAUAAAUAUGCCUCCAGCUGGUAGGAGUGGCCCUGGAAGACAUAACUUUUAUAUCAUAUAUCUAUCUAUCUUUAUUUCUUAAACUAUCUUAUAUUUUAUAUCCUGACUUUUUAUAUGUGAACAGUCCCAAAUGUCCCUAAGACAGCAUGUCUGCAUUCUCUCUACCCUGCUGCUUCAUCCAACAGGGCGGGCUUGGAGAACUUGUAAGCUAGGGGAGAGAGCAGCGGCUGCAGGCCUUAGGGGAGGAUCUGUCAUAGUCACCUGGAGACUUUUCUGAUCAUUUUUGCAACCUGUGUUCUGCGCUUGGUAUCCUGUUGUUCCGGGGGACUGCCUCCUUCCUGGCCUUUAAGCUUUUUUAAACCUUUAAGCCACAGGCAAUGAUAACCUUUUUCCACUGAGAAAAAGUGCUCGAGAGGUGGGUUUUAAAUUUUGGCCGACACUAACCAGACUCGAAAGAUGAACACUCAGCUUACCACGAUUC